rnacentral:misc_RNA from 1 species
GGCCGUUCGGGCGGCCAUAAACAGCCCUCAGACCCGAAGCGUGGCGUUCC